rnacentral:sRNA from 1 species
GCCAGAUGUGGUGGUGCACGCCUGUAAUCCCAACUACAUGGGAGGAUAAGGCAGGAGGAUUGCAAGUUCAAGGCCAGCCUGGGUAAUUUAGCAAGACCCUGUCUCAA